UGACCCUGGAGGUGUUCAAGGAACGUUUGGAUAUUUUGUUGAGGGACAUGGUUUAGUGAGAACUAUUGGUGAUGGGUGGAUGGUUGGACUGGGUGAUCCUGUGGGUCUUUUCCAACCUCGAUGAUUUUAUGGUUCGAUGAUUCUAUGCUAUCACAAAUUAUUUUGUACUUUUUGUGGGAUUUUUGAGAUGUUGAAAAUUACAAAAUUUAUCAGCACCAUGUAAGUAUUCUGGAUAUUUCUUCUGCAGUGAAUGUGCUAAGUUAUUACAUUAUUUUACAAAAUAGCACAAGCCCAAUUUUAAUGAUUAAAUAAGAAAACUUAUAUAUCUGCUUAAUAACAAAAAACAUAUGUUUUCACAGUCACACACGUGUAAGUAGGUUGAAACAUUACCAGUAAUCACUGUGUUUUUCUCACCAAGUGGCACAAGCAUGUAAUGUCUAAUGCACAUAGGUUUCAAUCUGACUGAGUGUGUGCGGUGGGCAUGAGAGGCAGAGUUAAUUCUGUGCUGUGCCCUCCCCUCCACAGUGUUCUGUUAUUACCUACACCGCCUGCAAUCAUGUUAUGCACAAUCAAUUCAUGAAAAAUAUCACUAAAAGUCACAUGAUAAUGUUAAAAGUUUACAGUAUUGCAGGACUGCAUUACUCCCUGUCCAGGACUGCAUGUGGCCUGCGGGCCAUGAGUUGGACUUGUCUGAUCUAAUGGAUAGCAACACAGUGGUGCAAUAAUGAUAUUCUGCAGUGGCUGUGGGUUUGCUGAAAACAUCUGUCAUAUAAGUAAACUUAAGUGAGAUUAAUUUUAUCUCAGGAAGCAAUUUCUGUUGCCAUCUCUUAUCUCCCUCUGGAGAUACUUCCAAUAUCAGAUGUGUGGUGAGUUGUAAGAAAUUUGCUCUUUGCUAUGAAGCAGGAGCUCCAACAUAAGUACCAUGAAUUGUCAGUGGCUCUGCUGAGGUACCUAUUUAUUUAACCAGUUUAUAAGGGGCCUAGAACACAUGAGUAACAGCUGAACCUGCAGUGGUAGACAGGAUGUCAGCACUAGAAAACGACCACUCUGAGGACUCUGUUUUCAAACACAGAAUCCACUACUGACUGUGAUAUCAGUGUUUGCUCUGUGAAUCCACAGAAAAGUUAUAUUUAUGCCUGCAGUGGAAAUGCUAAGUCACAGCUUGAAACGGUGAUUGAGCACCUGAUAGGAAGGCAGAGCCAACUCAGAGGAUCUGAGGUGCAUGUAAGGCACGUGAGUGACCAGAAGGGGGGAGCCCAGAUCCACCCCUUCCCAGACCUCAUUUAAGGGUUGGCAGUGGAGAUGAAGAUAUUUCUCUGUACCAGAGGUUUUCUGAAGGUAAGUAGCUUCUUUUCCUUAUUUCUGUGCCUAUUGCUGCUCUGUUUGAGCAGAUCCUUUCUUACUGUAGUCUGGGAUCUUGCUGCUCUGCUGUCAUUGCACUUUUCAUUGUGUUACAGUGGCCGAGGAAAACUUUUCCCUAGCAGUUCAAAGCAGAAUUAAAAACAGUGAAAUCAACACACAAAAAAACUCAACCAACCAACAACAACAACAAAUUGAAAUAAAAGUAUUGUUUUGAAAAUGUCUCUAUCAUGAUUUUUUUAAAGGAAAACAACGUUGCUCCAACAUAGUAUAUCCUUUAUGCAAGGAAAUAUAGAUCUUUGCACGCUACAAGUAACAGGGAGAAUAUCAGAUGUUCUGUAUCUUCAAAUAAAAUACAAAAGCAAGUAUGAGAAUAUUAAUUUCUUAACAUCUGUUUAUUCCUAACUUGAAACGAGGUUGCUGGGUGUCUGCCCAGUAGAUCCCAAUCUGAAUAACUUUACACAAGGGACCAGUCCAGGAGCUCUAGAGAGAGCUGAGGAAAGUUGUUUUUGUGUAUAGAUGUUACCUGAUUCAAAUAUUAAGAAUUCCUUUCUUCUGUUUAUAUUAAGCUACCAGUAGUUGCUUAUGUUAUUAUGAACUUCUUAUGUCAUUAGCAGAAUUGUCUUAGGAAGUUGAAAAUAAUUGUGUAGAAUCUUCUUUAAAAACAGUAUGUGAAUUUGGACUCAAGGUAUGCUCAUGCCACUGAGAGAUAAGGUGGGUUUUUUCAAAUAUACAGAACAGUACAGGCAUGUAGUGGUAGAAAUACAUAUAUGUAUACAUAUAUAUACAUACAUACGUCUCAAAGCUGGCCAGUGCCUAGUUGGUACCAUUCAGGUUUUAGCUGUCCAGCAGCAUCUGCUUUCCAGUCUCUGUGAAGGAGUCCUGCCAGGCUGAAUUGGUAGCAUUUAACGCUUUGUUUGCCCAGCACAAACUUAUUUGUCUUGCACAAAGUAAAAGACAAUUGCUAAUUAAUUCCUAGAGAUUUUGUUUGUUUUAUUUUGAAUGACACAUUUUCAGUAAUGCUAUGAAUAAAGCUCUUAAACAUAAUUUCAUUUCUGAGAUAAACAGGAUGUGAAUUUACAUCUCCUGAGGCUGGGCAUUGUGCUAUUCCCACUACUUUCUUUCUUCUCAAGCAUGUAUUCAGAAGGAAUCAAGAACUGCUGGAGAAAAGAGAGUGAAGAUUUGGACAAUGCAAAGUAUAUGAAGGUGUAUGGGAACUUCUGAGUCACAGACUGAACCACUGAUGGAGCACCUGGAGAGAAGACCCUAUCAGCCCUGGAAGCACAGUUGAAGAUAAUUCACUUGUGCCACCAGAAGGGGUGGAGCCAGGCUCCACCUCUCUUUGAUUUUAUUUAAGGUCUGACUGCCACUAAGGAAGGAUCUCUUGCUGGAGAUCCUUCUUUUGUGGAGUCUUUCUGUGAGCCUAGGUCUUCAGAGACAGGUGAGCAUCCUUCUUUUUUGUAAAACCUUCUCAUUGGGCUGGUCCUAUUGCUGUUACAGCAGGCAAUGCAAGAGACUCCUGGAAUGUAUUGAGGAUAACUGCCUGAGUCAGGUAAUAGAGAGGCUCACUAGGAGGGAUGCAGUGCUGGACUUGUUGCUCACUAAUGCAAGUGAACUGAUUGGUGACAUCGGGAUUGGAGAAGUCUGGGCUGUAGUGGCCAUGCAACAGUGAAGCUCACACUCUUGAGGGGUACUGGGCAGACAAAGAGUAAAAUCAAGGCACCACGUUUCAGGAAAGCCAACUUCUAGCUCUUUAGGAAGUCUAUCAACAAAACCUCCUGGGAAUCUAUCCUCAAGGACAAGGGGACACAUCACAGAACUGGCAGAUCUUCAAGGCAAGUUUUGUUAGGGCAUAAAAAUUCUCCAUCCCCACAUGUAGGAAGUCAGGAAAGGAAGGCAAAAGGAGGUGAUGGCUGUGCCUUUGAAUGGGAUACAGACACUACAGAGCAGUAACAGGUAAUAAAGAAGGAAAUUGGCUCACCCCUUCUAACAACCAGUGAUAGCUCAAGAGAAUUGCAGCCUUUUUCCAGAAAGAUACUACUUUCUCAGUUGCUAACCCUUAAAUGAGAGUGAGGAGGGGUGGAUUCCAGCUCCACCUCUUCCAGUCACUCAGGUGCACUGAUUGCACCUAAACUGUUCCCUGGGUUAGCCAUGCCUUCUCACCUGGUGCUCAGUCAUUGGUUUGGGCUGUGACCGGGCAAUUUCACUGCACUCCACCCCUUCACAGCAUGAAUUAAUGACUAAGCAGGUAGAGGAUGAGCUCCUGCAGUUUAGUGGUUCAAAAUACAAUGUGCAUUGUGAUGUAUGUACAAUACCCUCCACAAUGUAAAAUGUUAAGGCACUGAAGGCAAUUAUUGGCAGUCUUCUUGUGCUAGUACUCUUUUGGGCUAGUACUUGAAGUUCCUUCUUAAGACAUAUCUUCUUCAAGGAUCAGUAGCAGUUCAGGUUCAUGCUUGCCAGUUCCCAGAAGUUAAAUGGUCCACUACCGGGUGUCACGAUCGUCAGGACAUUGGAGUGGUGUUGCUCCUACUGGUUGUCCUGUGAACUUAACAACCUCAAGUGGAGUAGUACAGAUGUUUAAUAGGUAUUAAUAUAAUAGCUACUACCUCUGCUGGCCAUGCACUGACUACUGUAGGGUCUACCCCAACCUCUAGCUAUCUCCCCCAAGGUUGCAAGGAAACUGCACUGUUUUGGUCCUACAUGCAACCAUUAUUUCCUCAGAUGUCUCACUGUGAUAUGUUACCAGGCCAAGUAUCUUCUGCAGUUGUUCUUUCAGUGGAGAUGGUGACAGGUGGCUUCUCUGACUAAGGUGGGCGACCCAGCACACCACUGUUUGUGAUAGGGCCACCCCCAUCUUAGGUAUGUGGGUUAGGUCUUUUACCUAUCCCUGGAUCAGUAAAGUUGUUUUAACAAUAACCUCUGAAGUCUGAAUUAUUAGUUCUACCAUGUGCAGAACCAGCAGAACCCUUCUGAGUCACAUGCGCACCUAGUUCAGCUAGAAGGGUUGGACUGAAUAUAUCCAGUGCCUGGGCCUGUUUAACAGCAUGUUUGUUGUUGUUGUUGUUUUGUGUGUUUUUUUUUUUUAAUCGAUAUAGAGGUUUUAGCCAUUGUGCUAUGUGGGGUAUAAAGGAUCACCGGUAUCCUAAUAUACCCAAGAACUCUUGCAACUGCUUUGGUUUUGUGGGAUCCAAGAAUGUUUGGAUCUUACCUAUGACUGCCCUGGGUAAGACCUUAGUCUUACUCAGCCAGACAGCACCCAGGAACUUAACUGAUAGCCCUGAUCCUUGUACUUUCUGUGGGGUUAUAGCCUAUUCUUUUUCCUGUAAAUAAGUAGUGCUGGUACUGCCUUCUCUAAUGCCUCAGUUGAGUCAGAUGUUAGCGUUAGAUCAUUGAUGUAGUCGUACAAUUUGACAGUAGAUGGUUUGUUCCAAUUUGACAAGUCAGGUGCCACCAGACUAUGACAGAAAGAAGGUGAAUGCACAUAUCCCUGAGGUAGGACUUGAAAAGUCACAAUGUCAAUAGGUGCCUGUGUGGGAGCAGCUGAGUGAGUACUUAGAGCUCAGGUAAGUAUAAUGAGAUAAUCCAGUUGUAAAUACCUACAUCUACACCAAGCUUGAUCAAAAAUUCUAGAGGCUAGAUGUUGCUUCAGUGGUUGAAGUGAAAUAUAACCACUAUGUAGAUUUCUUUAACUUUGUACUUUUAGUUAAGAUUUUGUUGCCUUCACUGGUUCGAUAUUCUUUGACUCAACUUGAAACUACUGUGACUAUUAUUUGAUGUUUUAUUGACUUUAGCAGGCCAGUGAUAUUGCUUGAAGGUGUGUUCUAAUGCAGAAGAGAUCUUAUCUUUCGUUGUUGUCACUAUCACUUUAUGCAUUUGUGCAGUUUAAGAGCUGAUAAAUUCAGUGUUCUUAUUUGGUAAAUGUACGUCAUCUGUUUUUUAAGGUAGAUUUGUUGUUGCUUAUCAGGAUUCUAUGAACAUGACUUAUACUUUUGUAAUACUGCGGAACUGAAAAUAAAUGAUCUAUCAGA